rnacentral:tRNA from 1 species
GGUUGGGUUAGCUCAGUGGUUAGAGCUUAAGUCUUGUGACCAGAAGGUCCCUUGAUCGAAUCUCGCCAAAGGCA